rnacentral:rRNA from 1 species
GUGAAGAAGGCCUUAUGGUUGUAAAGCACUUUAAGCGAGGAGGAGGCUACUUUAGUUAAUACCUAGAGAUAGUGGACGUUACUCGCAGAAUAAGCACCGGCUAACUCUGUGCCAGCAGCCGCGGUAAUACAGAGGGUGCAAGCGUUAAUCGGAUUUACUGGGCGUAAAGCGCGCGUAGGCGGCUAAUUAAGUCAAAUGUGAAAUCCCCGAGCUUAACUUGGGAAUUGCAUUCGAUACUGGUUAGCUAGAGUGUGGGAGAGGAUGGUAGAAUUCCAGGUGUAGCGGUGAAAUGCGUAGAGAUCUGGAGGAAUACCGAUGGCGAAGGCAGCCAUCUGGCCUAACACUGACGCUGAGGUGCGAAAGCAUGGGGAGCAAACAGGAUUAGAUACCCUGGUAGUCCAUGCCGUAACGAUGUCUACUAGCCGUUGGGGCCUUUGAGGCUUUAGUGGCGCAGCUAACGCGAUAAGUAGACCGCCUGGGGAGUACGGUCGCAAGACUAAACUCAUAUGAAUUGACGGGGGCCCGCACAAGCGGUGGAGCAUGUGGUUUAAUUCGAUGCACGCGUAGAACCUUACCUGGCCUUGACAUAGUAGAACUUUCCAGAGAUGGAUUGGUGCCUUCGGGAACUUACAUACGGGUGCUGCAUGCUUCCGGGC